CGAUGCGUAGCACAGCGGUCAGGGCAGGCGGCUUAUAACCGUCAGACCCGGAUUCGAAUCCCGGCGCAUCGACCA
rnacentral:tRNA from 3 species